rnacentral:rRNA from 1 species
UACGUAGGGUGCAAGCGUUGUCCGGAAUCAUUGGGCGUAAAGCGCGCGUAGGUGGCUUCGUAAGUCCGUUGUGAAAGUCAAAGGCUCAACCUUUGAAUGCCGAUGGAUACUGCGAAGCUAGAGUACGGAAGAGGCGAGUGGAAUUCCUGGUGUAGCGGUGGAAUGCGCAGAUAUCAGGAGGAACACCAAUAGCGAAGGCAGCUCGCUGGGACGUUACUGACACUAAGGCGCGAAAGCGUGGGGAGCAACAGG